CUCUACAGCUGUACCACCCUGACCAUGCCCAGUCUUGUCUGAUCUUGGAAGCUAAGCAGGGUUGGGCCUGGUUAGUACUUGGAUGGCAGAGUAUUUGACUGCAGGCACAGAAGCUU
ensembl:rRNA 5S_rRNA 5S ribosomal RNA